UACGGAGGAUGCAAGCGUUAUCCGGAAUGAUUGGGCGUAAAGCGUCCGCAGGCGGCAAUGUAAGUCUGCUGUCAAAGCGUCUGGCUCAACCAGAUAAAGGCAGUGGAAACUACAUAGCUAGAGUAAGGUAGGGGUAGAGGGAAUUCCUGGUGUAGCGGUGAAAUGCGUAGAGAUCAGGAAGAACACCGGUGGCGAAAGCGCUCUGCUGGACCUAAACUGACGCUGAGGGACGAAAGCGAGGGGAGCGAAUGGG
rnacentral:rRNA from 1 species